AGUAUCGACAACACAAAUUAAACAACUUGUGACUGGAAAAGCACGAACUUUGGAGUUGGCAACCCAUUUGUCUGUUUCGGUAUUAUAUUCGAGAAUGUGUCCUAAUCGACCAACACCCUGAAAACCAGCCAAGACAUAAACUAUAGAGCCAACUGCUGCACAUUUCACUGUUACACCCUUCCAUGGCAUUGGUGAGACCAUCUUCCAUUCGUUC
rnacentral:lncRNA from 1 species